GCCUUAUAUUUAUUUUCAACUAUAUAUAUAUAAGGAAACCCAUGAAGUGUACACACUAAAUUUAGCUAUCCAAACUCCAAAUCUUCAACAAGACCUUUAAUAAAUUACUUCCAUCUCGCUUUUAAUGCUUGGGGUUCACUGCUUUCUCUGGCUUCAAAAUCAUAUAACCCACAAAUCCAAAGCAAUUAUUACUAUAAAAUCAAACCCAUAUACAUUUAUAUUUUCAAAAACAACUAUCAUGAAUGCAAGGAAGUGAAAGCAUUCUCACCUCUCUUUAACCUUAUUUGAACAAAUCAAAUGGGUAGCUCCAAUUCUGAUUAUUCUCCUCAAUUAGUUCACUUGAAGAUGGGGAAUUAACACAAAACUAAUCUAGUAACUAAACUUGCUAAGAUUUUCUUAACAAACUACAAAAAUUGGAGAGGCCCUCUCGCUUUUCUUGAAGCUUUCUCUUCCCUCCUGAAUGAUAGCCAUUCUUUUUGUCUUGCUCCAACAGCCGGCUGUAACCAUGAAAUUGGGUGGGAGAUUCGUGAAGCCAAGAGAUUGACACAUCACUUACGAACCCACCAUACAUGCUCAAUCUAAAGACGCCUUUCAAACCAUCAAAUGUAACCUAUAAA
rnacentral:lncRNA from 1 species